UAUUGCUACGGCAACACAUAAACUAAAAUUGGAAUGAUACAGAGAAGAUUAGCAUGACCCCUGCCCAAGAAUGACGCGCACAUUUGUGACAUUCUCCUAAUUUGU